GAGCGGACAGAUGGGAGCUUGCUCCCUGAUGUUAGCGGCGGACGGGUGAGUAACACGUGGGUAACCUGCCUGUAAGACUGGGAUAACUCCGGGAAACCGGGGCUAAUACCGGAUGCUUGAUUGAACCGCAUGGUUCAAUUAUAAAAGGGGGCUUUUACCUACCCCUUACAGAGGGCCCCCGGGCCCUUUACCUAUUUGGGGGGGGAAGGGCUCCCCAAGGGAACGAGGCGUACCCGACCUGAAAGGGGGAUCGGCCCCCCUGGGACUGAAAACCGGCCCAAACCCCUAGGGGGGGGAGCAGUAGGGAAUUUUCCCCAAGGGACAAAAGUCUGACGGACCACCCCCCCGGGAGGGAUGAAGGUUUUCGGAUCGAAAAACUUUGUUGUUAGGGAAAAACAAGUACCGUUCAAAUAGGGGGGAACCUUGACGGAACCUAACCAAAAACCCCCGGUUAAUUACGUGCCACCACCCGCGGAAUUACGUAGGUGGCA
rnacentral:rRNA from 1 species